AACGAACGCUGGCGGCAUGCCUAACACAUGCAAGUCGAACGAGAACUUCGGGUCUAGUGGCGCACGCGUACGUCACGCGUGGGAACCUGCCCUUAGGUUCGGAAUCACUCCCCGAAUGGGGUGCUAAUACCGGUUAAUGUCUUAGGCCCAAAGGUUUAUCGCAUUGGGAUGGGCCCGCGUUGGAUUAGCUGGUUGGUAGGGUAAAAGCCUACCAAGGCGACGAUCCAUAGCUGCUCUGAGAGGAUGUUCGGCCACACUGGGACUGAGACACGGCCCAGACUCCUACGGGAGGCAGCAGUGGGGAAUAUUGGACAAUGGGCGAAAGCCUGAUGCAGCAAUGCCGCGUGAGUGAUGAAGGAUUUAGGGUUGUAAAGCUCUUUUACCCGGGAUGAUAAUGACAGUACCGGGGGAAGAAGCUCCGGCUAACUCCGUG
rnacentral:rRNA from 1 species